AUAUCUAUCUCAAUUUUUAUUUUAAUAUAGAAGCAGGCGACACUAUAAACACUACUAUUGGAUGCUAUGCAUGUUGCCAGAUUUCAUCAGAUUUUUUUGGUGCAAUAUAAUAAUAACCAGAGUGUCUGUUAGCAUGGCUCGAAAUUAAACGCCAUGGAUAGAUUAAAGGUCAACGUCACAAAAGUAUAUAUUAGUUGAGUUUUCAGUUCAGUUUUCCAAUAAUAACAGUGUAACCAUAACUCUAGAGACCACCAGUGAUGUGAAUCUAGUAAAACUAUAGUAGCAUCUGCGCUAUCUUGAUUUUGAAAUAUAAUCCACUCUAGUUUCCCAUAUUUUCCGACAUUUCACAAGAUUUUAUUGAAUUCGUUAGUUACUAUUAUUAAUAAUAAUAGUGAUGAGUGGAUUGAGUAGCCCAGGAAUCAUCACUGCCGGUUGUAAGCCCAGAUAAAGGAGGAGGAUUGGGCUAAAGGUUAACAAUCCAUUCCCGUAAAACUUAAUUGUACCGAAAUCUACAACCUAGCCUCGGAUGGGUGGUCUUAUCAACGACGACUACCACGAACGAAAUUGGAUUAUGAGGUUGGAACAUGGAACCUUAGAAUAUUGAAGAAGUCUUAGUAUUGAAAUAAAGAAAUAUAAUCCAACAAUCAAAGCUAUACUAGAAAGUAGACGGUUAGGUAUCAGACUAGGCAUCAGGGGCACAAAAACCCCUACUAUAAUGUAUAGCGGGAAACACACAUGCCCAAGGAAACUAGGAGUAGCCUUUAUAGUGGAUAACAAAAUAAAAUCGAUCAUAGUGCACUUUUAAUCCAUAAGCGAAAGACUAUGCAAAUUAAGAGUACGUGCAAAGUAUUGCGAUGUAACAAUUAUAAAUGUAUAUAGCCUAACAGAAGAGCUGCACCAAGAUAAAAAAGAGACAAUUUAUCAGUAAGUAGAAUUCGAGUAGCGUACGAUACGAUCCCUGGAAAUGAUAUUAGUACUUGGACUUUACAAUACUACUUGGAGACACAAAUGCAAAAAUUGGCAACGAUGUCGAAUAUUUGGGCAGCAUAGAAAGACAGCUUACACAAUGAGACUAACGAAAACAGUGAAUUAUCAGCUCAACAUGCUUCCCAUACAUGAAUGUACAUAAACCGACAUGGAUCUCACCAGACGGUAUCACAAAGAACCAAAUAGAACAUAUGUUUAAACAUAGAAAACUAGACAUUGAAAAACUGAAAAUACCGGAAACACAAUGCAGAAUGAAGGAGGAAAUAGAAGUGAAGAUGUUCUGUUUCCAGAACAACCAAAUAUUAAAUAUGGAGAACAGUGAUUAGACCAAUUGUCAGUUAAUCAUGGACGUUGACUCAGAAGUCGGCAGAAAUUGUAAAUAUUUUUGAUAUUAAAGAGAAUAAUAAGGCCAGUAUAAGAAAUUUAUAUAUGGAAAUCAAGAUACAACCAUCACAUUUAUAAGGACUCGCCAUUAUCGAAGUUCAUCAGACUCUAGCGUGUAAGAUGAGGUGGUCAUGGGAUUAGAAUGGGAGAAGAGAAAAUGCUUAAGCGACUAAUCAGUAGAAGGAUGCAAGGAGGGCAAUCAGGAUGCAAUCAGUCGGGACGCCAAGGUGGUGAUAGGGAGAAGAAAGUGGUCAGAGACAGGGAAAAUUGGAGACAAAGGUUGAGGUUGGCUAAGGUUCAAUUCGGGCUCUAGAGCCAGAGAGAGAGAGGGAGAGAGGUUAUU